rnacentral:rRNA from 1 species
CCUACGGGCGGCAGCAGUGGGGAAUAUUGGGCAAUGGGCGCAAGCCUGACCCAGUAACGCCGCGUGAAGGAUGAAGGUUUUCGGAUUGUAAACUUCUGUCGCGAGGGACGAAGAAUGACGGUACCUCGUAAGAAAGCCCCGGCUAACUACGUGCCAGCAGCCGCGGUAAUACGUAGGGGGCAAGCGUUGUCCGGAAUGACUGGGCGUAAAGGGAGUGUAGGCGGGAGUGCAAGUCAGAUGUGAAAACUAUGGGCUCAACCCAUAGCCUGCAUUUGAAACUGUACUUCUUGAGUGCUGGAGAGGCAAUCGGAAUUCCGUGUGUAGCGGUGAAAUGCGUAGAUAUACGGAGGAACACCAGUGGCGAAGGCGGAUUGCUGGACAGUAACUGACGCUGAGGCGCGAAAGCGUGGGGAGCAAACAGGAUUAGAUACCCCAGUAGUC